GCCGCGUGCGGGAUGAAGGCCUUCGGGUUGUAAACCGCUUUUGUCAGAGACGAAAAGGGACGUACGAAUAAUACGUUCCGCUGACGGUAUCUGAAGAAUAAGCACCGGCUAACUACGUGCCAGCAGCCGCGGUAAUACGUAGGGUGCAAGCGUUAAUCGGAAUUACUGGGCGUAAAGGGUGCGCAGGCGGCUGUGCAAGACAGAUGUGAAAUCCCCGGGCUUAACCUGGGAACUGCAUUUGUGACUGCACGGCUAGAGUUUGUCAGAGGAGGGUGGAAUUCCGCGUGUAGCAGUGAAAUGCGUAGAUAUGCGGAAG
rnacentral:rRNA from 1 species